rnacentral:rRNA from 1 species
GAUUUCUGGCACGAUUUGCCUGGCCCGCCACGGUUUCGUGUGUGAGUGCCGGGUCGGAUCUGCCAUCCUUCCAGAGAACGUUCCUACCCUUCACUGGGCCGGGAGCGCAAUCUGGAUCGUUUACUUUGAAAAAAUUAGAGUGUUUCAAGCAGGCGUCUCGCUGUGAAUACAUUAGCAUGGAAUAAUAACUUAGGACUUCGGUUCUAUUUUGUUGGUUUCUAGGACUGAAGUAAUGAUUGAUAGGGAUAGUUGGGGGUGCUAGUAUUCAGCGGCCAGAGGUGAAAUUCUUGGAUUCGCUGAAGACUAACUUAUGCGAAAGCAUU